AUAGAUUUGGUGGCAAUAUGGAUGUAAUUAAAUUGCUAUUUUUGGAAAAUGCUACCUUUUUAAUUCACUUGAAUAAUUUCGCAAAGAUCUGAAACAUCAUUUUAUCAUUUGCACAGUAUUAUUUGCAGAGUUGUGAAGGUCUCAGUUAUGGCCCAGCGGGCAAAAUGACGUUUAUCCAACGUUGAAUCAACGUUGGAAAUGACCUUCCAGACGUUGGAUAGACGUUGAAAAAGGGUUGACUAUGCAAAUUGGAUCGACGUUACUGUUUCGACGUUGAAACAACGUUGAAAUUAGGUUACCAAUCUCGUCAACCAUAAUUCAACGUUGAAUCCACGUUAAAACAACGUUGAGAUUGGUUCACAAAUCGACGUCGUACAUUUAACCAUGAAUUCAACGUCUGUUGGCUGCUGUUGAACCAAUGUUUGUAAAACAACGUCAGAGCAACGUGGAUAUUAGGUUGUCGACGUCGCAACUUUUUUUCUACCAAAUUUCAACGUUGAAACAACAUCGUGUGCCCGGUGGGGGGCUUACGAAUCAAAACUAAAAAGAUUAAUGCAGCAUUUUCCUCGGUUCACCCUCGGGUUCACCAUUGUUUCCUAUACUGUUAUUUC